CCUACGGGAGGCAGCAGUUAGGAAUUUUCCACAAUGGGCGCAAGCCUGAUGGAGCAACGCCGCGUGCAGGAUGAAGGUUUUCGGAUUGUAAACUGCUUUUAUGUGUGAAGCGGUAACACAUGAAUAAGGAUCGGCUAACUCCGUGCCAGCAGCCGCGGUCAUACGGAGGAUCCAAGCGUUAUCCGGAUUUACUGGGCGUAAAGAGUGCGUAGGUGGUUUGUUAAGUGAAUAGUGAAAUCUGGUGGCUCAACCAUCAACACAUUAUUCAAACUGGCAAACUCGAGAAUGAGAGAGGUCACUGGAAUUCCCUGUGUAGGAGUGAAAUCCGUAGAUAUAGGGAGGAACACCAAUGGCGUAGGCAGGUGACUGCCAUUUCUGACACUGAGGCACGAAAGCGUGGGGAGCGAACGGGAUUAGAUACCCUGGUAGUC
rnacentral:rRNA from 1 species